rnacentral:tRNA from 1 species
GUCGUCUAGCGGUAAGGAUCCAUGGUUUUCAUCCAUGUUACAGGAGUUCGAUUCUCCUC